rnacentral:rRNA from 2 species
AGCGGCGGACGGGUGAGUAACACGUAGGCAACCUGCCCACAAGACAGGGAUAACUACCGGAAACGGUAGCUAAUACCCGAUACAUCCUUUUCCUGCAUGGGAGAAGGAGGAAAGGCGGAGCAAUCUGUCACUUGUGGAUGGGCCUGCGGCGCAUUAGCUAGUUGGUGGGGUAAAGGCCUACCAAGGCGACGAUGCGUAGCCGACCUGAGAGGGUGAUCGGCCACACUGGGACUGAGACACGGCCCAGACUCCUACGGGAGGCAGCAGUAGGGAAUCUUCCGCAAUGGGCGAAAGCCUGACGGAGCAACGCCGCGUGAGUGAUGAAGGUUUUCGGAUCGUAAAGCUCUGUUGCCAGGGAAGAACGCUUUGGAGAGUAACUGCUCUUGAGGUGACGGUACCUGAGAAGAAAGCCCCGGCUAACUACGUGCCAGCAGCCGCGGUAAUACGUAGGGGGCAAGCGUUGUCCGGAAUUAUUGGGCGUAAAGCGCGCGCAGGCGGCUCUUUAAGUCUGGUGUUUAAUCCCGAGGCUCAACUUCGGGUCGCACUGGAAACUGGGGAGCUUGAGUGCAGAAGAGGAGAGUGGAAUUCCACGUGUAGCGG